rnacentral:rRNA from 1 species
UACGUAGGCAGCGAGCGUUGUUCGGAGUUACUGGGCGUAAAGGGUGUGUAGGCGGUUCUUUAAGUUUGGUGUGAAAUCUCCCGGCUCAACUGGGAGGGUGCGCCGAAUACUGAGGGACUAGAGUACGGGAGAGGAAAGUGGAAUUCCUGGUGUAGCGGUGAAAUGCGUAGAUAUCAGGAGGAACACCGGUGGCGAAGGCGGCAUCCUGGACCGAUAUUGACGCUGAGGAGCGAAAGCCAGGGGAGCAAACGGG